rnacentral:rRNA from 1 species
UACGUAGGCAGCGAGCGUUGUUCGGAGUUACUGGGCGUAAAGGGUGUGUAGGCGGUUGUUUAAGUUUGGUGUGAAAUCUCCCGGCUCAACUGGGAGGGUGCGCCGAAUACUGAAUGACUUGGAGUGCGGGAGAGGAGAGUGGAAUUCUUGGUGUAGCGGUGAAACGCGUAGAUAUCAAGAGGAACACCUGCGGCGAAGGCGGGUUGCUGGGCCGACACUGACGCUGAGGCGCGAAAGCUAGGGGAGCGAACGGG